GUCCUUUCGCUUUCUGGGAACGAUGAAUCAACCUCGCGCUGCUGCGAAAUUUUAAAGAUACAUUUUUAAAUUCAAUUCCAAAGUAGUAUCUGCAAUUUUCUAAAUUCUCAUGAAUGCGAAAAACGGAAAUAAAAGCGCAAAAGAAUAUACAGAAAAGAUGAAAUAUUGGGUGAUCGAUGAAUGAGAUGAAACUGCAAAAUUCCAGGAAUUAUUUCAGAAGUCUUGGUAUUGUCUUUCUCUCCUUUCCCAUCCUUCUCUCUCUUUUUCCAGGGUAAGGCCGUGCAAAUCAAGAUCUCCAGUUUAAAAUCAUUAUUUUAUAUUUUCAAAAAGUCCAGUCUGAUUUCCAUCCUUCACAUUACUUAAUUCACAUUAUGAAUUCCAUUACAGAGUGAGAGUUCAAUUUACAAUCUAAAAAUAGAAAGAAUAA